GAUGAACGCUAGCGACAGGCCUAACACAUGCAAGUCGAGGGGCAGCAUAAACAUUGCUUGCAAUGUUUGAUGGCGACCGGCGCACGGGUGCGUAACGCGUAUGUAACCUACCUCAAACAGGGGCAUAACACUGAGAAAUUGGUACUAAUUCCCCAUAACACCUGAUAGGGCAUCCUAUUAGGUUGAAAGUUCCGGCGGUUUGAGAUGGACAUGCGUUGUAUUAGCUAGUUGGUGAGGUAAUGGCUCACCAAGGCGACGAUCAGUAGCCGGACUGAGAGGUUGAACGGCACAUUGGGACUGAGAUACGGCCCAGACUCCUACGGGAGGCAGCAGUGGGAAUAUUGGGGCAAUGGGGGAAACCCUGACCCAGCAACGCCGCGUGAAGGAAGAAGGCUUUCGGGUGUAAAC
rnacentral:rRNA from 1 species